GUUGUACUUUAUUUUUGUUUGCUGCUUCUUAAAGAGUGUUUCAAUAAUGCUGCCUUUGAAAGUGGUGUUUGCUUGAAAUAGCAAUUACAGAAUAUUCAGCUGCAAAUCUCAUUCUAAGCACAUAUUCUUCUGGCCUAGGAUGCAAAGCUAAGGAAGAUUUUUUUCAAAAACUGAAUAAAAAGCAGUUGAAUUAAUUGUGUUAUAAUAUGAUGCUGAAGACUGUGCUACACAGGAGGAAAAGCAAAUUAAGGAACAGAAGUGACUUUCUCAUCCUGCUGUUAGUCUCACACUCUUCAAAGGCAUUUGAAUUUCUGAGGAGGGAAAUCUUGAGGGAAGAAAACUGUUUUCAAAUUUUCAAUUUAUCUGUAGCCUACAAGGAAAAUGACUGUAAAUUCUGGAGCUUCUGCAACUAUCUCUAG
rnacentral:lncRNA from 1 species